UGCCAGCCGCCGCGGUAAUACGGAGGAUGCAAGCGUUGUUCGGAAUUAUUGGGCGUAAGGCGCGUGUAGGCGGUUCGUUAAGUCUGAUGUGAAAGCCCGGGGCUCAACCCCGGAAGUGCAUUGGAAACUGGCGAACUUGAGUACGGGAGAGGAAAGUGGAAUUCCGAGUGUAGGGGUGAAGUCCGUAGAUAUUCGGAGGAACACCAGUGGCGAAGGCGGCUCACUGGCUCGAUACUGACGCUGGGGUACGAAAGUGUGGGGAGCAAACAGGAUUAGAUA
rnacentral:rRNA from 1 species